GCUUCUAGUACGAGAGGACCGAAGUGGACGUAUCUCUGGUGGUCCGGUUGUCAUACCAAUGGCAUAGCCGGGUAGCUACAUACGGACGGGAUAACCGCUGAAAGCAUCUAAGCGGGAAGCCCACCUCAAGAUUAGAUUUCCCUAGGGGUUUAACCCCUCUGAAGGUCCGUCGAAGACUACGACGUUGAUAGGUUGGGUGUGUAAGUGCAGUAAUGCAUUGAGCUUACCAAUACUAAUUGACCGUGAGGCUUGACCAUAUAAUAG
rnacentral:rRNA from 1 species